AAGUGUCGCCCAUAUUUUUGUCUCAUCUCCUCGACGAUCCCAUUACUCACAGGCUCUUCUUGCCCAAACACCCUCCCACCCAAAACACUCUUCAUUUCAUCUUGAUUCUUGACAGCCCACACAACUCUGCUGGAUAUAUUAAUCUCUAUUAACUCCAUUUUUAACUGCUUUUUCUCCAAAGUUGUUUUUUGGGGGACAUUUGCCCGUUAUCAGGAGUGUUUGUCUGCCAUCAUGGCACCGGGAGGCUCACAGACGGAUGUGAAAGGCUCUCUGGACGGGAGUAUGGAAUUCUAUCGCAGCUGGUUCGGUCCUACGACCCCACGACCUCCUCUGCGAAAUUACCUGCUUCUGACCAUCCUCACAUGUUUCUGUCCUGCCUACCCUGUUAACAUUUUAGCCCUGGUGUUCUCUAUAAUGUCCAGAAACAGUUAUGACCAGGGAGAUUAUGAUGGUUCUAGGCGUUUAGGGAAGCUGGCGCUCUAUGUGUCGAUCGCCUCCAUCAUCAUUGGCAUCCUCAUCAUCACUAUCUUCUGCGCUGUGCAUUUCAGCACGGUAACGUACAAUUAAUACUAUACAUACUGUUAUGUAUAUAUGAAAAGCUGAUGCUCCAUCAAUGAAAAGAAAAUGAAAAGCUACACACUCCAUCAAUUAGGAAACAAGUUUAAGAUGACGGUAUUUCUGUCCUGUUGUCCUCUGGAGGAUGGAUGUCCACUGGGUCAGAGGUUUAAUAUGAAACCAAGACCAGGACUGAUUCAGACUGACAUCAGUUCUCCUCCGUCUGUAAUCCACCUCUGCAUGAACACGCUUAUACAAUAUAAAAGAGAGAGAUAGAUGACGGGGCUUGAGAAGUUAUGCCAUUUUUGUCAGGCAACAUUUUGCAGACAAUCACAUUCAAUGUAUGCACCUUUAAAUCACUUAAUAUCAUGUAUCCAUGCACAUGCUGAAUAUGUAAAUAAUUUUGUAACCCAUGCAUGCCUAUUCUUUUUCAAAAAAUGUUUUGUGCCAAUCCUCUGUUGAAAUAUGUAAUUACAAAGAUUUCAGGGCUGAAAGUCACUACAAAAAUGGUUAAUAAUGACUCUAACUAGUAAAUAUCAUUACAGCACAUCACACUGUUUACAAGUCUUAACAGGUCCUAUAAAUUCUGUAAAAAAAGUCACUGGACAUGGACAUACUGAACAUGUAAAUAUUAAUAAUGUUUGGUGCUUAGUGUUUUCCAUUAGAUCAUGAAUACAAUGACAAAGGUCUUAAUUUUUAUAACAACUUUUGGAGUUUUUUUUUUUUUUAAAUAGUGAUUAUAUGUAUUUGACUUUAUUGUUUAUUCAUGGAUUAGUUCAUUGUGAGUCUAUGUUUAUGUGUUGUCAAAUGUUUUACAAAUCAAAGGACACUAAUUUGGAAUUAAAUGCUUUGAUGAACUUGUCCUAAUUAAAUAAUAAACUUAAUUUAUAAAGCACCACUCAUACAAGUAGCUCACUGUGCUUUCAAAGGCUUUAAAUCUGAAAUAUGUCACUUUUGCACCAACAGCGCCACCAAACAGGACUGCAAAACUAACCAAUAUUUUUCCGCCCCAACUUUGAGUAAUCAUAAUAAUAAUAAUGCCAACGCAAAUACUUCCAAACAAACAACAGCAGCAUCGCUGCACGUCUCCGAGUAACACAUAGGUUGCGUCCAAAAUACUCUCUUGAGUAUGUACUUAUUUUGAAUAAGUAGCACUUACUUUGUGAGCUCUAAAAAAGUACUUUCUAUAGCCUAAAGUAUGAAUGAAGUCUGGACGUAUUACAUUCGCCAUGUUGUCAUUAUCAUGUGACCUACCAGCGUCAGUUGCGUCGCUUCACAAAUCCUCUCCCGUGGCCUCAUGGGAUAGUGAAAUGCCCAUCGUAUGCACACUUCAAAAUCUCGUAGUAGGUCAACUGGAUUCUUUUUGCCUACUCUUUUAUGAGUACUGCGAAUUAGGACAUACUUUUGUCACGUAGCCUACUGUUUUUCGCCUACUAUAUAGUAGGGGAGUAGGCCUAUGCAAUUUCGGACGCAGCCAUGAAUUCGGAACUGCAUACUACUCUUGCUACUAUUACAAUAUCUUUCUAUGACGGAAAUAGUAGGAGUAGUAUGCUAGUAUGCGGUUCUGAAUUCACCAAUAGUAUUUCACUCCUGAAUGAAUCAACAGGUGUGUUUGACUUGAAGCGGCACUGCCCAGACCGAUCGGCGUAUGACAUCAAAGUAACGCGAGAGAGAUUAGAAAGCAGACGCUCCGUAUGCUUUCGAAUUACUUUCGCAGUACUUUGAUGUCGUACACCAAUCGGUCUGUGCAGCACCGCUUCAAGUCGAACACACCUAACAUUUUUGAACUAAUCAGUUGUGAUUCAGUGACUCACUUGUUGCUGAAUGAAUCAGUGUAUAAGCAUGAUGUAUUGUGCUUAUACACUGAUUCAACAAUCCCAACAAAUUGUUUUAAUAAACACUUGAAAUACAAUUGAACAAGAAAUUUAAAGUUGUCAUUAAAAAAUGUGUUUUUAAUGCCUGUUACUGGUCUUAUUUAAUCACUUUUCAAAAGUCAAACCAUAUAUUUUUUGUAAACUUUAUUGUUUUACUCAGAAACAAAUAAGAUUAUGGAAGUAAAAUGAGUUUCACAUUGACUUUUAAAGUUGUUCCAGUAUCAGGCUUAUACUUAUGUAGACCAAAUAAGAUGUGGGUAAGUUGGAAAUAUAUUAGAUAUUGAGAUAAAGCUAAUUUAUUUUUCUCAGUCCCCCGACCCCCUUAAUCUUCAGGCCAGAGAGAUGGUGUAUUUGGAUAUGUACCUUCAGCACUCAUCCGUGCUAUAUAUAGUGUUGGGUCUCAAUCCCACGGUGGUGUCAGGGGCCUCUUGUUAUCCCAGUGUGUUCCGGCCAGCAGGGUCACAUGACACAGGAUAGCUGGUUCAGCACUGCCUGUGCUGAAAAACACAUGCAGGUCUCCACGCUCCAGAAAACUACAUCAUGCUUAUACAAGGAAAGACUUCAGCCCAGUAAACAGACAGAGUUAGAACGGAAGUGAAAUGCGUCAUGGGACAUGAGUCGAACACUCAUAAACACUGUUUAGAUGUUUUUAUUUGUAAUAUUGGGUAUAAUAAUUAACAGUAAAUAAAUCUGACACUAUUUUCAAAACAAAAAAUGAAAUGAAAUAGCACAAUGGUUAUUUUAAAAUUAAAUUAAAUUAAAUAAAUUCAGUACAAUAAAAACUAUCAUGAUGAUUUCUGACUUACAUAAUGCUUUUUCAAUGUUGUAAAUAAAAAGAUUAUUGGAGUGUG